CCUACGGGUGGCAGCAGUGAGGAAUAUUGCUCAAUGGGCGAGAGCCUGAACCAGCCACGUCGCGUGAGGGAGUAAUGCCCUAUGGGUUGUAAACCUCUUUUGUCGGGGAGCAAAAGCCGGAUGUGUCCGGCUGUGAGAGUACCCGAAGAAAAAGCAUCAGCUAACCCCGUGCCAGCAGCCGCGGUAAUACGGGGGAUGAGUGCGUUAUCCGGGUUUAUUGGGUUUAAGGGGUGCGCAGGCGGAUUUUUAAGUCAGCGGUAAAAUCGUGGGGCUCAACCCCAUCCAGCCGUUGAAACUGGGGAUCUAGAGUGUUCGAGAGGUAUGCGGAAUGCGUGGUGUAGCGGUGAAAUGCAUAGAUAUCACGCAGAACCCCGAUUGCGAAGGCAGCAUACCGGUGAACAACUGACGCUCAGGCACGAAAGCGUGGGUAUCGAACAGGAUUAGAUACCCUUGUAGUC
rnacentral:rRNA from 1 species